rnacentral:rRNA from 1 species
GAUGAACGCUGGCGGCGUGCCUAAUACAUGCAAGUCGAGCGAACAGACUUGGAGCUUGCUCCUCUGACGUUAGCUGCGGACGUGUGAGUAACACGUUGAUAACCUACCUAUAAGACUGGGAUAACUUCGGUAAACCGGAGCUAUUACCGGAUCAUAUAUUUAACCGCAUGGUUCAUUAGUGAAAGACUGUUUUGCUGUCUCUUAUCGAUGGAUCCGGGACGCAUUAGCUAGUUGGUAAGGUAACGGCUUAACAAGGCAACGAUGCGUAGCUGACCUGAGAGGGUAAUCGCGCACACUGGAGAAGAGUAACGGGACAGAAUCCUAAGAGAGGCAGCAGUAGGGAAACUUACGAAAUGAGCGAAAGCCUGACGGAGCAAUGCCGACUGUGAGAUGAAGGUCUACGGAGAGUAAAAACCUGCUAUUAGGGAAGAACAAAAGAGUAAGUAACAAGGCACGGCUAGACGGUACCUAAUCAGAAAACCAAGACUAACUACGUG